GCACGCCGCGUGAGUGAUGAAGGUUUUCGGAUCGUAAAGCUCUGUUGUUAGGGAAGAACAAGUAUCUGUUGAAUAAGCAGGUACCUUGACGGUACCUAACCAGAAAGCCACGGCUAACUACGUGCCAGCAGCCGCGGUAAUACGUAGGUGGCAAGCGUUGUCCGGAAUUAUUGGGCGUAAAGCGCGCGCAGGCGGUUCCUUAAGUCUGAUGUGAAAGCCCACGGCUCAACCGUGGAGGGUCAUUGGAAACUGGGGAACUUGAGUGCAGAAGAGGAGAGCGGAAUUCCACGUGUAGCGGUGAAAUGCGUAGAGAUGUGGAGGAACACCAGUGGCGAAGGCGGCUCUCUGGUCUGUAACUGACGCUGAGGCGCGAAAGCGUGGGGAGCGAACAGGAUUAGAUACCCUGGUAGUCCACGCCGUAAACGAUGAGUGCUAAGUGUUAGAGGGUUUCCGCCCUUUAGUGCUGCAGCAAACGCAUUAAGCACUCCGCCUGGGGAGUACGGUCGCAAGACUGAAACUCAAAGGAAAUUGACGG
rnacentral:rRNA from 1 species